GAUGAACGCUAGCGGCAGGCUUAAUACAUGCAAGUCAAGGGGGUAGCAAUACAACCGGCGCACGGGUGAGUAACGCGUACACAACAUACCAUAUACUGGGGUAUAGCUUUGGGAAACUGAAGGUAAUCCCCCAUAACAUUGCGAGAGGGCAUCUGAUUGCAAUUAAAGUUUCGGCGGUAUAUGAUUGGUGUGCGUUUGAUUAGCUAGUUGGUAGGGUAACGGCCUACCAAGGCGACGAUCAAUAGCUGGCGUGAGAGCGCGACCAGCCACACUGGAACUGAGACACGGUCCAGACUCCUACGGGAGGCAGCAGUAGGGAAUAUUGGACAAUGGAGGAAACUCUGAUCCAGCCAUGCCGCGUGAUAGAUGAAGGCCCUCUGGGUUGUAAAUAUCUUUUAUCUGGGAAGAAACAAUCUUAUUCUUAAGAUCUUGACGGUACCAGAGGAAUAAGCACCGGCUAACUCCGUG
rnacentral:rRNA from 1 species